AACCACCGGGUUCGGACCGGUAUUCGCA
rnacentral:misc_RNA from 1 species